GACGUAGGGCGCAAGCGUUGUCCGGAUUUAUUGGGCGUAAAGAGCUUGUAGGCGGUUUGUCGCGUCUGCUGUGAAAUUUCGGGGCUCAACCCCGAACUUGCAGUGGGUACGGGCAGACUAGAGUGUGGUAGGGGAGACUGGAAUUCCUGGUGUAGCGGUGAAAUGCGCAGAUAUCAGGAGGAACACCGAUGGCGAAGGCAGGUCUCUGGGCCACUACUGACGCUGAGAAGCGAAAGCAUGGGGAGCGAACAGG
rnacentral:rRNA from 1 species